rnacentral:rRNA from 1 species
GAUGAACGCUGGCGGCGUGCUUAACACAUGCAAGUCGAACGGAAAGGCCCAAGCUUGCUUGGGUACUCGAGUGGCGAACGGGUGAGUAACACGUGGGUGAUCUGCCCUGCACUCCGGGAUAAGCCUGGGAAACUGGGUCUAAUACCGGAUAGGACCACUUCUUGGAUGUUGUGGUGGAAAGUUUUUUCGGUGUGGGAUGAGCUCGCGGCCUAUCAGCUUGUUGGUGGGGUAAUGGCCUACCAAGGCGUCGACGGGUAGCCGGCCUGAGAGGGUGUACGGCCACAUUGGGACUGAGAUACGGCCCAGACGCCUACGGGAGGCAGCAGUGGGGAAGAUUGCACAAUGGGCGCAAGCCUGAUGCAGCGACGCCGCGUGGGGGAUGACGGCCUUCGGGUUGUAAACGCCGUUCGCUAGGGACGAAGCGUUUUGUGACGGUACCUGGAGAAGAAGCACCGGCUAACUACGUG